UUUCUUUACGCCGACCUCAGAGCAGGUGAGGGUA
rnacentral:rRNA from 1 species